GUCUCUGGGGUCUCUUCAUCUUAAGCCUUGGCCAUCGAAUGUCGCUGUGCGCUGGUGCGGCGUGCGCCGGGACCUGCUCCCAGCUGGUGUGCUCUGAGCACUUCCUUGCUAAGCACGCGCCACACAGCUUGUGUCUGCUUUCUCAUUUAACCUUCAAACAAUCCCACAAUACAGGUACUGCUAUUAGCCCAUUUUUCAGAGGGGGAAACUGAGGCUAAGAGAGGUCAAGUACCUUGCCUAAAGUCACACAGCUAGUUAAAGUCACACAGCUGGAACUCACAGUAGGUCUGUGUCCAGAACUAGAAUGUUCUACUUCCUCCUAGGACUGCAAGACCCAAGAGUAAGCAUUGGUUCUGAGCACGGAGAGCCGACAGGGCUGGCCCCGGCCCUCUGUGUGCCUUCACCAGGGUGACAUGUCUACACACCGGCAGGGACCUUUGCCGGUGGCCUUGUCUGUGUCCACAGCCCGCCUUCAGGGUGCCCACGACCCACCCCACAAGGCCGUGUACAAGAUGAUGUGGGUGUGUGUGGUGUGUGGGUUUUUUAUUUUUUUCUGAAGUGACUGCAUCACUUCUUAGAGAGCUGAUAACAAUGUGGCAUUGUGACAUAGGGUUACAUCAACUGACAGCAUUGUGUGCCCUCCUCACGGCCACUGGGCCCCUUUUGUUAAACCUUUAGGACACGGAUCCUGGGUCCACUGGCGGCACCGUGAGGAGAGUGGGCCACGAGGGCAGCAGCCCGGCUCUCACAGGGCAGACGGCCUGGCUGCCUCAUUCCUUCUGGCAUGCCACCAAAACUCUGGCCCUUGUCUGAGUGGAGACAUUGUGCACCACUGGUGAAGAGGCUCCUUGUGUUGGCGCGAUAGGGGUGCUCCCCCAGGAGAGAAGAAAUAGAGACAGGAAAGGGAUUGAUUGCUUAAAACCAAAAGAGAGACAACUUCUUAUGGAGGAGCCAGACAUCAACUGCUGGACCCCAAACUUGGUUCUGCACUCGCCGAUGUGUGGCCUUGAACACGUGACUUAACUGUGUGAGCCUCAGUUUCCUCACCUGCAGUGCAUAGGGAGUAGCUCGCUCGCGGGGCUGCCGUGAGGAUGGAAGGAGUCACUCUACGGGAUGGCUCGCGGGGCACGCUAGCAUCACUCUUACAAACCAGAGCCACCGCGGUGAUGCACGAGCUGUGACAACUCUCCCUGGGAGCCCAGCAGGGGGACAGGUAACUGCAUCACUCCCGUCUGCCACAUCCCUGUGCUUGGGGUUGCACCCAUGUUCACAGCCACGAUCAACAAUACUAAUAAGUGGCUUCCACACCUUAAUUAGGGGAUGUUUCUCAGCCAUCUUUUGUGUUUUAUCAUCUUCUUCUACUUGUCACUCUCCAUUUCUGGAUGCUAUUUUUUUUAGUCUGUCCAAGGUGCUAGGACCACAUCAAAAUGUGGACUCAUCUUAAAAUCUAAUCUAAUGGGCACCUGACUCUAUACCCCAUGGUGACAGGCUCAGAGCAGAUCUGGUGAAGGAUACACCGUUAGGCAAAUUUCCAAAGUCACCCCUAAUAUUGGAUAUCAGGGAUUCAGGACCAGGGUAGGGUCCAUGGUAGCAACCUUUGAUGGGCGUCCUCUCUGCUGUGCUCCCAGAUGGCCUCGGCCGUGGAGGGUG